rnacentral:rRNA from 1 species
AUGCAAUCUUAUGAAGAAAAACUUGAGUUGGAAGUUUCUAUCCCUAGAAAACUUUAUGAUGAGUGGAAACCUACAAUUAAAAUAAAAAUUAAAAAUCAUGAAUGCUAUGCUUUGUGCGAUUUGGGUGCUAGUGUUUCCACGAUCCCAAAAACUUUGUGUGAUUUGCUUGGUUUGCGUGAAUUUGAUGAUUGUUCUUUAAACUUGCACCUUGCGGAUUCCACCAUUAAGAAACCUAUGGGAAGAACUAAUGAUGUUCUUAUUGUUGCAAAUAGGAAUUAUGUGCCCAUAGAUUUCAUUGUUCUUGAUAUAGAUUGCAAUCCUUCAUGUCCUAUUAUUCUUGGUAGACCUUUCCUUAAAACGAUUGGUGCAAUUAUUGAUAUGAAGGGAAUAUUAGAUUCCAAUUUCCGUUAA